GAUGAACGCUGGCGGCGUGCCUAAUACAUGCAAGUCGAGCGAAGCGGGGACGGGUGAGUAACACGUGGAUAACCUCCUAUAAGACUGGGAUAACUUCGGGAAACCGGAGCUAAACCGGAAAUUUAUAGCUUGUUCCGGGUGCCUUUAGCUAGUUGGUAGGGUAACGGCUUACCAAGGCAACGAUGCAUAGCCGACCGGAGAGGUGGAUCGGCCACACUGGAACUGAGACACGGUCCAGACUCCUACGGGAGGCAGCAGUAGGGAAUCUUCCGCAAUGGGCGAAAGCCUGACGGAGCAACGCCGCGUGAGUGAUGAAGGUCUUCGGAUCGUAAAACUCUGUUAUUAGGGAAGCGGUACCUAAUCAGAAAGCCACGGCUAACUACGUGCCAGCAGCCGCGGUAAUUC
rnacentral:rRNA from 1 species